rnacentral:rRNA from 1 species
UACGUAGGUGGCAAGCGUUGUCCGGAUUUACUGGGCGUAAAGAGCGCGCAGGCGGUCGUUCAAGUCGCGUGUGAAAGCCCCCCGGCUCAACUGGGGAGGGUCACGACGAUACUGAUCGACUCGAAGGCAGGAGAGGGAAGUGGAAUUCCCGGUGUAGUGGUGAAAUGCGUAGAUAUCGGGAGGAACACCAGUGGCGAAGGCGACUUCCUGGCCUGUUCUUGACGCUGAGGCGCGAAAGCUAGGGGAGCAAACGGGG